AAAGUGAAUAUAUGUCCGGGUGCCGCUAAGAGCGGAGAAUAGGGAAGCCGGUGAGAAUCCGGCACGGGCCCGCCACUGUAAACGGGAAGCCCCCGCAUAUGCCACUGGUACUUGUUACCGGGAAGGCGCGGGAGAGCGUUUGAUCCGUAAGUCAGGAGACCUGCCUAGGACAAAAAUAGAUG
rnacentral:ncRNA from 2 species